GGGCCUGCAAGAGUCAAUCCAACAUUCAAACAAUUAACAUCAAACGAUUAGCACAAACAUGGCAGCCUAUCAACAAUUAACAUAACAACAACAAGUUGCAAUUGGACAUCAGUGCAACAGGUUUUCCAAACAAAGCUACAAAAACAACAUCACAAUCCCAUAUCAUUGGGCCUACAAGCCAACAAUACAAUUCAUAACAAACAUACAUCAGAGUGCAUCAACAAGCAACAUCAAAUUCAUCAUAAAAGAGCAUCAGUAACAAAACAAUAAUAGCAUCAGUCAUUCAAUUUUUACCAUCUGACAACACUGCUAAUAGGUUCAAUUUCAUCUAACGGAUUUCAUUCAUAGCAAGGAAAAUUCGCAUCAUCUAACGGUCCAAGAUCACUAACCUGGUUAACUUUGAAUCCCCUAUGUAUUCAUUAUUCUCCAAUUAUUUAGGGAAUCACGAUUCAUUCACGAAUUUACACAAAACCUCGCACACUUCAAAACUCUCCCUUAUUAUCUUCUCAAACUCAGAGCCUUGAAUCUUCAUAAUCCUCUCAAUCACUCACCACAACUCAAUCUCUCUAACUCUCACUCUCUGAUCAGAACCAAAGAAGAAGAAGAAGAAUAAGAAGAAGACUCAAAACUCGUAGCUCUCACUCUCCCAUUAAAGGCUCAAAGAAGUAUUCGCGCAACUCUCACAAUAGAAGAAGAAGGGAAAAACACAAAAUCAAGAGCAUACUUGUUUUCCGUUGUCUUCGUCGCUUCAAUAUUAUUCUUCGGUUGAGAUGAGGAAGAUGAUGGUCUCAAAUUCAGUUUAGAGGCUCUGCCGCCGCUGGAGGCGAUUCUGGAGCGGCGGAGAGGGAAAAAUAUCUCGGCGAACAUGUUUGAAUGUUUGAACUCAUCUUCUGAUCACGUGACCCGUUUCUCUCUCUUCAUAAAUGUUGGUUUCGGCCCUGGAUGUAUCUAUAGCCCAUGGAUCUUACUUAUCCACGCCCUCACAUUGCUGGUCAUACCUCCCCUGUUGAUUAAGUCAUUUUAUUUUAUUUUACUUUUUCAUUUAAUUGUCGACUAGGUCCUCGUUCUUGAUCUUAUUUUAUGUUAGUUUUUUAUCCAUUUUCUACCAUGAUUAAUUAGGAAAUAGAGAAUUUAUGACUUAGUUAUUUUUAUUAGUUCAUUCCUUGGUGGAUAAUUGAUCAUUAACUCUUACUACUAAUUAUUGACUUACUAAUUCACUA